rnacentral:rRNA from 1 species
GAUGAACGCUGGCGGCGUGCCUAAUACAUGCAAGUCGAGCGAAUGGAUUAAGAGCUUGCUCUUAUGAAGUUAGCGGCGGACGGGUGAGUAACACGUGGGUAACCUGCCCAUAAGACUGGGAUAACUCCGGGAAACCGGGGCUAAUACCGGAUAACAUUUUGAACCGCAUGGUUCGAAAUUGAAAGGCGGCUUCGGCUGUCACUUAUGGAUGGACCCGCGUCGCAUUAGCAAGUUGGUGAGGUAACGGCUCACCACGGCAACGAUGCGUAGCCGGCCUGAAGGGGUGAUCUGCCACACUGGGACUGAGACACGGCCCAGACUCCUACGGGAGGCAGCAGUAGGGAAUCUUCCGCAAUGGACGAAAGUCUGACGGAGCAACGCCGCGUGAGUGAUGAAGGCUUUCGGGUCGUAAAACUCUGUUGUUAGGGAAGAACAAGUGCUAGUUGAAUAAGCUGGCACCUUGACGGUACCUAACCAGAAAGCCACGGCUAACUACGUGCCAGCCGCCGCCGUAA